UACGAAGGGGGCUAGCGUUGCUCGGAAUCACUGGGCGUAAAGGGUGCGUAGGCGGGUCUUUAAGUCAGAGGUGAAAGCCUGGAGCUCAACUCCAGAACUGCCUUUGAUACUGAGGAUCUCGAGUUCGGGAGAGGUGAGUGGAACUGCGAGUGUAGAGGUGAAAUGCGUAGAUAUUGGGAGGAACACCAGUGGCGAAGGCGGCUCACUGGACCGGAACUGACGCUGAUGCGCGAAAGCGUGGGGAGCAAACAGG
rnacentral:rRNA from 1 species